GUAGGGAAUAUUGGACAAUGGGGGCAACCCUGAUCCAGCCAUGCCGCGUGAGUGAAGAAGGCCCUCGGGUUGUAAAGCUCUUUUGUCCGGAAAGAAAAGCAUUCGGUGAAUACCCGGAUGUUCUGACGGUACCGGAAGAAUAAGCACCGGCUAACUUCGUGCCAGCAGCCGCGGUAAUACGAAGGGUGCAAGCGUUACUCGGAAUUACUGGGCGUAAAGCGUGCGUAGGUGGUUGUUUAAGUCUGAUGUGAAAGCCCUGGGCUCAACCUGGGAAUGGCAUUGGAAACUGGGCAGCUAGAGUGCGGUAGAGGGUAGUGGAAUUCCCGGUGUAGCAGUGAAAUGCGUAGAGAUCGGGAGGAACAUCUGUGGCGAAGGCGACUGCCUGGACCAGCACUGACACUGAGGCACGAAAGCGUGGGGAGCAAACA
rnacentral:rRNA from 1 species